rnacentral:rRNA from 1 species
AGCCACACCCAUAUCACCCUGCAGCCCAAGACCGGUUACUCACUGAAGCUAAGCAGGGCUGAGCCUGGUCAGAACCAGGAUGGGAGACCACAUGGGAAAACUAGGUUGCUGUUGGAA